AGAUUGAACGCUGGCGGCAUGCCUUACACAUGCAAGUCGAACGGCAGCACGGGGGCAAUCCUGGUGGCGAGUGGCGAACGGGUGAGUAAUACAUCGGAACGUGCCUAGUAGUGGGGGAUAGCCCGGCGAAAGCCGGAUUAAUACCGCAUACGACCUACGGGUGAAAGCGGGGAUCGCAAGACCUCGCGCUAUUGGAGCGGCUGAUGUCAGAUUAGGUAGUUGGUAGGUAAAGCCUACCAAGCCGACGAUCUGUAGCUGGUCUGAGAGGACGACAGCCACACGUGGACUGAGACCGACGGCCCAGACCUCCGUACGGGAGCAGCGAGGUCGGGAAUUUGGAACAAGUGGGCGACGAAGCCUAGGAAUCCCGAGCCAGUCGCCGCGUGGCGGGAAGACGGUCCUUCGGUA
rnacentral:rRNA from 1 species